rnacentral:tRNA from 1 species
GGGAAAGUGGCUCAGUGGUAGAGCUUUUGCCUUGCAUGCAUGAGGCCCUGGGUU